ACUCAUCUCCAGUCAGCCCUUUACAUUUCUGAUUUCUUUGACUCUAUCUUCUAAGAAAAACUCUUCCCACAGAACAGCCUAUAGGGAUUUCAGCGGCUAUCUCCAUUGUCUCAACCCUGGGGGCUUCUCCUUCCUCUCUACAAUCUUCCUUCUCUUCAAAAACCUUCUGGAAUGCAACCUUGACUGAUUGUCUAAACUGCCAUUUCCUGUAUCUCCCAACUAGGAAGUAAACAAGAAUUCGUGCUACUGUUCACAGUGGCCAGCAUGAGAGACAUUUGAAGAGAAAAAUCAAGACGGAGAAAAAGAAGGGAGGUACUGGACAACAAAAGGAGCAGCAAAGAGGAGGAAGAAGAGGAUACUGAAUAGUAUGACAAUGAAGAGUCUUCCUGGCUUACAUCAUUGUGAACCACAUCGAAACUUGAUAAACAGGAUCAGAUUGGAAACUAACACAAUUAAAGGGAAAAUCAGGAAAUUUAGAGCAACAGCGGCCAUGAGUAUCACCAUACAAUUGACAAGUACUACAAAUACACCGGAAAAGCAUUUUAGUCUCAUCAUCAGGCAGGAGAGACCCCAAAGCAGGGCGCACACAACAACAGGUUAUAGCUAUCUACAUAUGUUUGGUCUGUUCCAUUCAGCACUGGCCUUUGAUACACAAGAGUUCCGAAAACAUCAUUCUGCCCAACAGGAUCACGAGCCUCAGCUGUGCAGUCAAGAUCACAUCUGUUUGGAGCACAGAGCUGGUGGGAGAGCCCAUAAAACCCCAGGAACUCAGGCUCAGCCGUGAGUGGAUAUCAGAGCCAGCCGAGCACCGAACAACAUAUACUGUCUGCUGAAGAAGCAGCCUUGAGAACAAGAAGAUAAGAAGAAGAACAAACAAUAAACAACCUACAAGAAGAUAAGGAGCAAGAAUAAACACCCUGUCUCAGGAUUUUGUAAAGCAACUUCUCACCAUCUGUAUGCCUAAGCCAUGGUGUAUAUGACUGAAGGACUGUGAGUUUUGAUAAAGCCAUCUCAGUGACUGAGCGACUCAGCUCAACAACAACAAAGUGAUUGGCUGAGUGGGUUGUCAGGGGCGCUGCAACAGUCUGAUAAGAGGACAGUGAAGACCGGGCCCCAAUGACACUGUAUGCCAUCCACAUCCCAUUGGGAGAAAACUGCUGGCGUCCUCCCCAUAAGAUCAUCAUGUCCAGAGGCACUGCAACUAGCCAUCGUGACUCAACCUGAACACCAGUGGAUUGGCCUGCAUAUGUGUGUUUGUAAUUAUGAAUGAUUUUAGAUAGAGCAUUGCUUUUCCUCACUUAAUCUUUGUGUGUUACUCAAUAAAGACCUUGGUUGCUGUA